rnacentral:rRNA from 1 species
UACGGAGGGUGCAAGCGUUAUCCGGAUUCACUGGGUUUAAAGGGUGCGUAGGUGGGCAAGUAAGUCAGUGGUGAAAUCUCCGGGCUUAACCCGGAAACUGCCAUUGAUACUAUUUGUCUUGAAUACUGUGGAGGUCAGCGGAAUAUGUCAUGUAGCGGUGAAAUGCUUAGAUAUGACAUAGAACACCAAUGGCGAAGGCAGCUGGCUACACAAAUAUUGACACUGAGGCACGAAAGCGUGGGGAGCAAACAGG